rnacentral:rRNA from 1 species
CCUACGGGUGGCUGCAGUGGGGGAUAUUGGACAAUGGGGGAAACCCUGAUCCAGCGAUGCCGCGUGAGGGAAGAAGGUUUUCGGCUUGUAAACCUCUGUGGAUGGGGGCGAUAAUUACGGUACCCCUUUAGGACGCCACGGCUAACUACGUUCCAGCCGCCGCGGUAAUACGUAGGUGGCGAGCGUUGUCCGGAAUUACUGGGUGUAAAGGGAGUGUAGGCGGGAAAGCAAGUCAGAAGUUAAAACUAUGGGCUUAACCCAUAGCCUGCUGUUGAAACUGGUUUUCUGGAGUGAAGUAGAGGCAAGCGGAAUUCGUAGUGUAGCGGUGAAAUGCGUAGAUAUUAGGAGGAACACCAGUGGCGAAGGCGGCUUGCUGGGCUUUGACUGACGCUGAGGCUCGAAAGCGUGGGGAGCAAACAGGAUUAGAUACCCUAGUAGUC